rnacentral:rRNA from 1 species
UACAGAGGGUGCAAGCGUUAAUCGGAAUUACUGGGCGUAAAGCGCGCGUAGGUGGUUUGUUAAGUUGGAUGUGAAAUCCCCGGGCUCAACCUGGGCACUGCAGUUAGAACUGGCAAGCUAGAGUAGGGUAGAGGGGUGUGGAAUUCCAGGUGUAGCGGUGAAAUGCGUAGAUAUCUGGAGGAACAUCAGUGGCGAAGGCGACACCCUGGACUCAUACUGACACUGAGGUGCGAAAGCGUGGGGAGCAAACAGG